ACGCACGCUGGCGGCGUGCUUAACACAUGCAAGUCGAACGCUGAAGCUUGGUGCUUGCACUGGGUGGAUGAGUGGCGAACGGGUGAGUAAUACGUGAGUAACCUGCCCUUGACUCUGGGAUAAGCCUGGGAAACUGGGUCUAAUACUGGAUAUGACAUGCCACUGCAUGGUGGUGUGUGGAAAGGGUUUUACUGGUUUUGGAUGGGCUCACGGCCUAUCAGCUUGUUGGUGGGGUAAUGGCCUACCAAGGCGACGACGGGUAGCCGGCCUGAGAGGGUGACCGGCCACACUGGGACUGAGACACGGCCCAGACUCCUACGGGAGGCAGCAGUGGGGAAUAUUGCACAAUGGGCGGAAGCCUGAUGCAGCGACGCCGCGUGAGGGAUGACGGCCUUCGGGUUGUAAACCUCUUUCAGCACGGAAGAAGCGAGAGUGACGGUACGUGCAGAAGAAGCGCCGGCUAACUACGUG
rnacentral:rRNA from 1 species